AUUGAACGCUGGCGGCAGGCCUAACACAUGCAAGUCGAACGGCAGCACGGGUGCUUGCACCUGGUGGCGAGUGGCGAACGGGUGAGUAAUACAUCGGAACAUGUCCUGUCGUGGGGGAUAGCCCGGCGAAAGGCGGAUUAAUACCGCAUACGCUCUCCGGCUGAAAGCGGGGGCCCUUGGUCUCUCGCGCUAUAGGGUUGGCCGAUGGCUGAUUAGCUAGUUGGUGGGGUAAAGGCCUACCAAGGCGACGAUCAGUAGCUGGUCUGAGGGGACGACCAGCCACACUGGAACUGAGACACGGCCCAGACUCCUACGGGAGGCAGCAGUGGGGAAUAUUGGACAAUGGGCGAAAGCCUGAUCCAGCAAUGCCGCGUGUGUGAAGAAGGCCUUCGGGUUGUAAAGCACUUUUGUCCGGAAAGAAAUGCUGGGCCUUAAUACCGUCGUGGGAUGACGGUACCGGAAGAAUAAGCACCGGCUAACUACGUG
rnacentral:rRNA from 1 species